AGUGAACGCUGGCGGUAGGCCUAACACAUGCAAGUCGAACGGCAGCACAGUAAGAGCUUGCUCUUACGGGUGGCGAGUGGCGGACGGGUGAGGAAUACAUCGGAAUCUACUUUUUCGUGGGGGAUAACGUAGGGAAACUUACGCUAAUACCGCAUACGACCUACGGGUGAAAGCAGGGGAUCUUCGGACCUUGCGCGAUUGAAUGAGCCGAUGUCGGAUUAGCUAGUUGGCGGGGUAAAGGCCCACCAAGGCGACGAUCCGUAGCUGGUCUGAGAGGAUGAUCCGCCACACUGGAACUGAGACAAGGUCCAGACUCCUACGGGAGGCAGCAGUGGGGAAUAUUGGACAAUGGGCGCAAGCCUGAUCCAGCCAUACCGCGUGGGUGAAGAAGGCCUUCGGGUUGUAAAGCCCUUUUGUUGGGAAAGAAAAGCAGCAGGUUAAUACCCCGCUGUUCUGACGGUACCCAAAGAAUAAGCACCGGCUAACUUCGUG
rnacentral:rRNA from 1 species